UGAGGUGUGCAAUGCCUGUGUAUCGGUU
rnacentral:piRNA from 1 species